GACGAACGCUGGCGGCGUGCUUAACACAUGCAAGUCGAACGGGCCUUGUCCCCUUUUUUUUUGGGGGUGGGGUUAGUGGCGAACGGGUGAGUAACACGUGCGUAACCUGCCCCUCACUUCUGGAUAACCGCUUGAAAGGGUGGCUAAUACGGGGUGUUCUGGCCUGCUCGCAUGGGUGGGUUUGGAAAGAUUCGACCGGUUUUGGUUGUUUUGGUGGGGGAUGGGCUCGCGGCCUAUCAGCUCGUGGGUGGGGUGAUGGCCUGCCAAGGCUUGGACGGGUAGCCUGCCUGAGAGGGUGGGCGGGCACACUGGGACUGAGACACGGCCCAGACUCCUACGGGGGGCAGCAGUGGGGAAUAGUGCACAAGGGGCGAAAGCCUGAUGCAGCGACGCCGCGUGAGGGAUGGAGGCCUUCGGGGUGUGAACCUCUUUCGCCAGUGAAGAAGGUCCUGCUCUUUGUGGUGGGGUUGACGGGGGCUGGGUUAAUGAAGCGCCGGCUAACUACGUG
rnacentral:rRNA from 1 species